GUCCACGCCCUAAACGAUGUACACUAGUUGUUGGGGUGCUAGUCAUCUCAGUAAUGCAGCUAACGCAUUAAGUGUACCGCCUGGGGAGUACGGUCGCAAGAUUAAAACUCAAAGGAAUAGACGGGGACCCGCACAAGCGGUGGAGCAUGUGGUUUAAUUCGAGGAUACGCGAAGAACCUUACCUGGGCUUGAUAUCCUAAGAACCUUAUAGAGAUAUGAGGGUGCUAGCUUGCUAGAACUUAGAGACAGGUGCUGCACGGCUGUCGUCAGCUCGUGUCGUGAGAUGUUGGGUUAAGUCCCGCAACGAGCGCAACCCACGUAUUUAGUUGCUAACGGUUCGGCCGAGCACUCUAAAUAGACUGCCUUCGUAAGGAGGAGGAAGGUGUGGACGACGUCAAGUCAUCAUGGCCCUUAUGCCCAGGGCGACACACGUGCUACAAUGGCAUAUACAAUGAGACGCAAUACCGCGAGGUGGAGCAAACCUAUAAAAUAUGUCCCAGUUCGGAUUGUUCUCUGCAACUCGAGAGCAUGAAGCCGGAAUCGCUAGUAAUCGUAGAUCAGCCAUGCUACGGUGAAUACGUUCCCGGGUCUUGUACUCACCGCCCGUCACACCAUGGGAGUUGAUUUCACUCGAAGCCGGAAUACUAAACUAGUUACCGUCCACAGUGGAAUCAGCGACUGGGGUGAAGUCGUAACAAG
rnacentral:rRNA from 1 species